rnacentral:rRNA from 1 species
AGAGUUUGAUCCUGGCUCAGGAUGAACGCCGGCGGUGUGCCUAAUACAUGCAAGUCGUACGCACUGGCCCAACUGAUUGAUGGUGCUUGCACCUGAUUGACGUUGGAUCACCAGUGAGUGGCGGACGGGUGAGUAACACGUAGGUAACCUGCCCCGGAGCGGGGGAUAACAUUUGGAAACAGAUGCUAAUACCGCAUAACAACAAAAGCCACAUGGCUUUUGUUUGAAAGAUGGCUUUGGCUAUCACUCUGGGAUGGACCUGCGGUGCAUUAGCUAGUUGGUAAGGUAACGGCUUACCAAGGCGAUGUUGCAUAGCCGAGUUGAGAGACUGAUCGGCCACAAUGGAACUGAGACACGGUCCAUACUCCUACGGGAGGCAGCAGUAGGGAAUCUUCCACAAUGGGCGCAAGCCUGAUGGAGCAACACCGCGUGAGUGAAGAAGGGUUUCGGCUCGUAAAGCUCUGUUGUUGGAGAAGAACGUGCGUGAGAGUAACUGUUCACGCAGUGACGGUAUCCAACCAGAAAGUCACGGCUAACUACGUGCCAGCAGCCGCGGUAAUACGUAGGUGGCAAGCGUUAUCCGGAUUUAUUGGGCGUAAAGCGAGCGCAGGCGGUUGCUUAGGUCUGAUGUGAAAGCCUUCGGCUUAACCGAAGAAGUGCAUCGGAAACCGGGCGACUUGAGUGCAGAAGAGGACAGUGGAACUCCAUGUGUAGCGGUGGAAUGCGUAGAUAUAUGGAAGAACACCAGUGGCGAAGGCGGCUGUCUGGUCUGCAACUGACGCUGAGGCUCGAAAGCAUGGGUAGCGAACAGGAUUAGAUACCCUGGUAGUCCAUGCCGUAAACGAUGAGUGCUAGGUGUUGGAGGGUUUCCGCCCUUCAGUGCCGGAGCUAACGCAUUAAGCACUCCGCCUGGGGAGUACGACCGCAAGGUUGAAACUCAAAGGAAUUGACGGGGGCCCGCACAAGCGGUGGAGCAUGUGGUUUAAUUCGAAGCUACGCGAAGAACCUUACCAGGUCUUGACAUCUUGCGCUAACCUUAGAGAUAAGGCGUUCCCUUCGGGGACGCAAUGACAGGUGGUGCAUGGUCGUCGUCAGCUCGUGUCGUGAGAUGUUGGGUUAAGUCCCGCAACGAGCGCAACCCUUGUUACUAGUUGCCAGCAUUAAGUUGGGCACUCUAGUGAGACUGCCGGUGACAAACCGGAGGAAGGUGGGGACGACGUCAGAUCAUCAUGCCCCUUAUGACCUGGGCUACACACGUGCUACAAUGGACGGUACAACGAGUCGCAAGCUCGCGAGAGUAAGCUAAUCUCUUAAAGCCGUUCUCAGUUCGGACUGUAGGCUGCAACUCGCCUACACGAAGUCGGGAUCGCUAGUAAUCGCGGAUCAGCAUGCCGCGGUGAAUACGUUCCCGGGCCUUGUACACACCGCCCGUCA